CUCUGAGCUGCUGGGGCGGAAUACCGGGUCGCUUUCUCAGUCCCCAGAACCCUUCCCUGGCAAGGACCAGCGCCAACCCCCAGGUUAACUGAGAACAGAACCAAAGCAGUAGGAAGAGGGAGUGGAAGCCGUUUAAUUUGUUCGCCUUAAGGGAGCGGGAGCCUUCCGUUCUGCCGGGGUAUUCAGGUCGUCUCCAUGUUUAUCAUCAUGGGAGUCCGGUCCAGCCUCUGGCCAGGAUGUGAUUUUUUGGCUUCUGAUGCCCAGGCCCUCGCCUUUCUCUCUUGCCUGCCAAACUUGUGCAGCCCCACAUCAGAGUGCAGGGAACACAGGUUCGAGCCCUGGUCCGGGAAGAUCCCACAUGCCGUGGAGCAGCUAAGCCCAUGUGCCACAACUACUGAGCCUACGCCCUAGAGCCCGCGAGCCACAACUACUGAGCCCACGGGCCACAGCUACUGAAGCCCACAUGCCUGGAGCCCAUGCUCUGCAACAAGAGAAGCCACCCAAUGAGAACCCCGUGCACCGCAAUGAAGAGUAGCCACCGCUCACCGCAACUAGAGAAAGCCCGCAUGCAGCAAGGAA